rnacentral:rRNA from 1 species
CCCUUAGAUGUUCUGGGCCGCACGCGUGCUACACUGAGUGGAUCAGCGGGUCAGGUUGCGCGAAAGUGUUUCCUAAUCUUGAAAUCCGCUCGUGAUGGGGAUUGACGGUUGCAAUUUUCCGUCAUGAACGAGGAAUACCUUGUAAGCGCGGGUCAUCAUCCCGCGCUGAAUACGUCCCUGCCCUUUGUACACACCGCCCGUCGCUCCUACCGAUUGCGUGGUCCGGUGAGGCUUUGGGAUCUGAGCGGAAAGAGCGUUUCGCUGUUUCUGCUCGGAAAACUCAGUCGAACCUUAUCAUUUAGAGGAAGGAGAAGUCGUAACA